GCCCGCUUGGCUCACCGGUAGAGCGCCUCACUAGUACCUGUUCAAAAGAAUAGCGCCAUGAGGAGGCAACUGGUUCGACUCCAGUAGUGGGCA